ACUCUUCUCAAAUUGCAUGAGCCGCUUGGUGGUGAGUAAGCGACAUUGAAGUACUAAGAGUACUAAGAAUGAAUGCAAAAAAGUAGAAGCAGACUAGCCAUUGAAGCCAUUUACGAAAAUGUGAAAAAAUGAUUUGCAUGAUGAAUGCAAGAUUUAACUGGCUAUGAAAGCAGCCAGGUCUAAUUAAAAUUUAGUCAGCAAUAAAAGGUCGAAAGCUUCGUAAGUGCGCCAGAUAUUCUUUAGAACCACUCGAGAGAGUGCCUACAUAUUCUGCAGCACCAACGCCAGCUACCAAGGACACAGUCCUUCCUAUUUCUUUCCUUUCUUAGCAAAAUUCUUUUAUGGAGCCCAUUGACACCAACUCCAUCGUCGGCGGCAUUAGCGUCACCAACUUCAACGACUGCACACAACAUCAAUGCAAUGCGACUACAGCAACAACAACUACUAAACUACUAAAGCUUGAACCGCUUUGAGAUGCUGAGGUUAUCAUUGUUAGCGUCGCCGUGAGGCUUGCAAAAUAAGCACAAUACAGCAGCCGUAAAGCGAAAGAAAGAAAAAAUAAAACGAAAUAAAAAGAAAAAAUACAACAAAAUAAAAAGAAAAUAUUCCAACUAUGCAUAGCAGAAAAAAUACAAAUUCACAACAAAUUGUUGGAGUUACAGUGAAUUUGCAACAAUGUAAAUAUACAAUACGGAUAAUAUGUAAAUUGUUGGUGUGAUGUGCGCAAAACGGUAUGGCAACCGCAACAAAAAAAAAAAGAAAACAAAACAUGCCCUCACGUUGAAGGUCAUUAACAUUUUCGCAGAAUUCGCGCCACUUUUCUUGUUGAUCUCUGCACUCUGUGAAUGCUUUUUAUAUACCGAUGUGUGUUUAUUUUUUUCUUUGUGUAUUUUAAGUAAAUUUAUUUAAUUUCUACUUUGUCAUUGGAUUGCAAUUGGGUAACUGCAACGAUUUUUGCCAAGUCAUUACUGUCUAAAGAAAUUGCGCAAAUAAAAAAAUAUUGAAUUUAUGUGGGAUAACAAAAAUAGAUUUAAUUUUCUUAUUUAUUUUUUAUUUCAUUGUUUCCAUUCAAACUCAAACAGAAAG